UACGUAGGCAGCGAGCGUUGUUCGGAGUUACUGGGCGUAAAGGGUGUGUAGGCGGUUCUCUAAGUUUGGUGUGAAAUCUCCCGGCUCAACCGGGAGGGUGCGCCGAAAACUGGGGGACUCGAGUGCGGGAUGGGAGAGUAGAAUUCCUGGUGUAGCGGUGAAAUGCGUAGAUAUCAGGAGGAAUACCGGUGGUGUAGACGGCUCUCUGGACCGCCACUGACGCUGAGACACGAAAGCGUGGGUAGCAAACAGG
rnacentral:rRNA from 1 species